GGUUAAGCGACUAAGCGUACACGGUGGAUGCCCUGGCAGUCAGAGGCGAUGAAGGACGUGCUAAUCUGCGAUAAGCGUCGGUAAGGUGAUAUGAACCGUUAUAACCGGCGAUUUCCGAAUGGGGAAACCCAGUGUGUUUCGACACACUAUCAUUAACUGAAUCCAUAGGUUAAUGAGGCGAACCGGGGGAACUGAAACAUCUAAGUACCCCGAGGAAAAGAAAUCAACCGAGAUUCCCUCAGUAGCGGCGAGCGAACGGGGAGCAGCCCAGAGCCUGAAUCAGUGUGUGUGUUAGUGGAAGCGUCUGGAAAGGCGCGCGAUACAGGGUGACAGCCCCGUACACAAAAAUACACAUACUGUGAGCUCGAUGAGUAGGGCGGGACACGUGGUAUCCUGUCUGAAUAUGGGGGGACCAUCCUCCAAGGCUAAAUACUCCUGACUGACCGAUAGUGAACCAGUACCGUGAGGGAAAGGCGAAAAGAACCCCGGCGAGGGGAGUGAAAAAGAACCUGAAACCGUGUACGUACAAGCAGUGGGAGCACGCUUAGG
rnacentral:rRNA from 1 species